GAAGCUCCUUGUAGGCCUGAGGAGUCUCAGGACUUGGCAUUGCCCUGGCUCCUGUGGCACGAAGACCUCAGGUCCUGUGGAAGUUGAGCAGCAAUGUGUGAUUUGAGGGGAGCUGACUUGUUUUUUUUUUGGUUUCCCCAGACCUUAUCCAUUCACCGUGUGUUCAAAAAUAGUAAAAUUAGCAUAUGGUAAACCAUACUUAAAAAUUGUAAA
rnacentral:lncRNA from 1 species